rnacentral:rRNA from 1 species
GGUGACGAGUUAUUGACUGAGUGGCGGACGGGUGAGUAACGCGUGGGUAACCUACCUUGUACAGGGGGACAACAGUUGGAAACGACUGCUAAUACCGCAUAAGCGCACAGCAUCGCAUGAUGCAGUGUGAAAAGUUUUUUCGGUACAAGAUGGACCCGCGUCUGAUUAGCUAGUUGGUGAGGUAACGGCCCACCAAGGCGACGAUCAGUAGCCGACCUGAGAGGGUGACCGGCCACAUUGGGACUGAGACACGGCCCAAACUCCUACGGGAGGCAGCAGUGGGGAAUAUUGCACAAUGGGCGCAAGCCUGAUGCAGCGACGCCGCGUGAGCGAAGAAGUAUUUCGGUAUGUAAAGCUCUAUCAGCAGGGAAGAUAAUGACGGUACCUGACUAAGAAGCACCGGCUAAAUACGUGCCAGCAGCCGCGGUAAUACGUAUGGUGCAAGCGUUAUCCGGAUUUACUGGGUGUAAAGGGAGCGUAGGCGGUUUUACAAGUCUGAUGUGAAAGCCCGGGGCUCAACUCCGGUAUUGCAUUGGAAACUGUAGAACUAGAGUGUCGGAGGGGUAAGUGGAAUUCCUAGUGUAGCGGUGAAAUGCGUAGAUAUUA